rnacentral:tRNA from 1 species
GCUCGAGUGGUGAAAUUGGUAGACACGUAUGAUUCAGGUUCAUAUGGCACUACUGCCGUAAGGGUUCGACUCCCUUCUCGAGCA